AAGAAAAYGGGCGUCUCUGACUAUAGCUUUUAUGCAAGUUCUCGUCCUCCAAGCAAAGCUGACUUGUUUUACGCUUUUUACCCCCUUUUAACCGCGCUGUUUUUCUGUCCUGCUCUUAGUUUAUUACCCCUCCUGUGACAAAGACUGUUCCUCUGCGAGCCCUGAGAGACGCUGUAGGGAUUCGGCGUGCUUGGCAGCGCCCRAGGAAAACCAGCCCUGCGCUUCCGCAACUACCGGCGCGGCCAAAAGGUAGCUGGUGGCAAAAGAGCCAAACUUGCGCUGGUUUAAAGAUCUUGUUUUCAGGAUGUUUAAAGCGCCUCGAGCAGCGAGACGGCAGCCCGAGCGCGGUGCUGCCAGCCYGGGAAGCGAAAGGGAUGAGCACCAGCUCGGCCUGGAAGGCGCAGAGGCUUAGACGAGUCAUUUUAGGACAGGAGCGCUGCUUGUUCAGCGCUGGCUAUGCAAGAGAUCAAGCCGCUCUCCGGGCCUCGGGCUGCGGAGCGAAACCGGGGAAUCUCGUUUUGGGGAGAGCACCGCUUGUGCGCCGUGCUGCCUCCGUGGAAGAGGGCUAGGACGAUCAGGAGUCUUUUCCACGGUGGUUAUAAAAGACUCGAAGCAGCAAACGCGGUGAUUCGAAGCCUUCAAGGCUUGAAACCGGCGGCGUGAUGCCGGGAGGGUUCGGCGUAGCAGGUAAUCCCAGCGCCGCUCUUCCACCGCGCGACUCCGCGCCUGCUCCCGGCCGAAGCUAAAACAUCCCGCGGUCCGUCUGCGGCCGGCCGAGCUGCUCUGAUCGUUCAGCAGCUUUUUUUCCGGCGUGGAUUCCCCGGCAGCCUCCUGGGGAAGUGCUUUGGGUUUCCCCGGCGGUGACCAUAUGCAAGAGAGGGCUUGACUGUAAAUAGUCUGUGCAUAAACAUAUUGUAUUUCUGUAAAAAAAAAAGAAAAAAACCGACAUGACUUCCCUCGCCUACUAAUCCAUGUGGCUUGAAGAUAUCGUAGGGGAGCUGGGGAAGUUGUGAAACACGCCGACUCCUCGCUGCCGCUUCUCUCCUUGCGUCACCCGCGGAGGGAGAAGGCGGAACGGGCGAAGCGCCCGCGUGCCGAAGGCGUUCGUGCCCRCGCCGCGAGCGCCGGCGACGUGCGGGUUCGCUCCGGCGCGGUCCUUUCGACGCCGUCCCUGCCAGGCGCUGUCGGCUGUGUCCUGUAAAUCUCCCCCUCCGCCUCCCGACUUUUUCUAGAGAAAAUAAAACGGAUGUAAAUAGUGGUGGCUGCCA
rnacentral:lncRNA from 1 species